CUCCUUACGAGGGAAAGUUUUUCGCUAUGAGAUCAGCCUAUGUCCUAUCAGCUUGUUGGUGAGGUAAUGGCUCACCAAGGCUAUGACGGGUAUCCGGCCUGAGAGGGUGAACGGACACACUGGAACUGAGACACGGUCCAGACUCCUACGGGAGGCAGCAGUAGGGAAUAUUGCUCAAUGGGGGAAACCCUGAAGCAGCAACGCCGCGUGGAGGAUGAAGGUUUUCGGAUUGUAAACUCCUUUUCUAAGAGAAGAUUAUGACGGUAUCUUAGGAAUAAGCACCGGCUAACUCCGUGCCAGCAGCCGCGGUAAUACGGAGGGUGCAAGCGUUACUCGGAAUCACUGGGCGUAAAGAGCGCGUAGGCGGGAUAGCAAGUCAGAUGUGAAAUCCUAUGGCUUAACCAUAGAACUGCAUUUGAAACUGUUAUUCUAGAGUAUGGGAGAGGUAGGUGGAAUUCUUGGUGUAGGGGUAAAAUCCGUAGAGAUCAAGAGGAAUACUCAUUGCGAAGGCGACCUGCUGGAACAUAACUGACGCUGAUGCGCGAAAGCGUGGGGAGCAAACAGGAUUAGAUACCCUGGUAGUCCACGCCCUAAACGAUGAAUGCUAGUUGUUGCGAGGCUUGUCCUUGCAGUAAUGCAGCUAACGCAUUAAGCAUUCCGCCUGGGGAGUACGGUCGCAAGAUUAAAACUCAAAGGAAUAGACGGGGACCCGCACAAGCGGUGGAGCAUGUGGUUUAAUUCGAAGAUACACGAAGAACCUUACCUAGGCUUGACAUUGAUAGAAUCCUAUAGAGAUAUGGGAGUGCCCUUUUAGGGAGCUUGAAAACAGGUGCUGCACGGCUGUCGUCAGCUCGUGUCGUGAGAUGUUGGGUUAAGUCCCGCAACGAGCGCAACCCUCGUCCUUAGUUGCUAACUAUUCGGUAGAGCACUCUAAGGAGACUGCCUUCGCAAGGAGGAGGAAGGUGAGGAUGACGUCAAGUCAUCAUGGCCCUUACGCCUAGGGCUACACACGUGCUACAAUGGGAAGCACAAAGAGAUGCAAUAUUGUGAAAUGGAGCAAAUCUCAAAAACUUCUCUCAGUUCGGAUUGUAGUCUGCAACUCGACUACAUGAAGCUGGAAUCGCUAGUAAUCGUAGAUCAGCUAUGCUACGGUGAAU
rnacentral:rRNA from 1 species